AACUCUGUGCCAGCAGCCGCGGUAAUACAGAGGUGGCGAGCGUUGUUCGGAUUUACUGGGCGUAAAGGGCGCGUAGGCGGCCGCGUGUGUGGGGUGUGAAAUCUCCGGGCUCAACCCGGAAAGUGCGCCCCAAACUGCGCGGCUGGAGUGCGGGAGGGGAGAUCGGAAUGCAGGGUGUAGCGGUGAAAUGCGUUGAUAUCCUGCAGAACACCGGUGGCGAAGGCGGAUCUCUGGAACGCAACUGACGCUGAGGCGCGAAAGUCGGGGGAGCAAACAGGAUUAGAUACCCUGGUAGUCCCGACCCUAAACGGUGCACACUUGGGGUGGGGGGAUUUCACCCCCCCCGUCCCGUAGCUAACGCGUUAAGUGUGCCGCCUGGGGAGUACGGCCGCAAGGUUAAAACUCAAAGAAAUUGACGGGGGCCCGCACAAGCAGAGGAGCAUGUGGCUUAAUUCGAUGCAACGCGAAGAACCUUACCCAGGUUUGACAUGCAGCUGCACGGCCUAUGAAAGUAGGCCUCCUUCGAGGGUGCUGCACAGGUGCUGCAUGGCUGUCGUCAGUUCGUGCCGUGAGGUGUUUGGUUAAGUCCAGCAACGAACGCAACCCCUGUGUCCAGUUGCCAGCGCGUAAUGGCGGGAACUCUGGACAGACUGCCCGUUCACACGGGAGGAAGGUGGGGAUGACGUCAAGUCAGUAUGGCCCUUACAUCUGGGGCUGCACACGUGCUACAAUGGCCGGUACAAAGGGAAGCAAGGCCGCGAGGCGGAGCCAAUCCCCAAAACCGGCCCCAGUUCAGAUUGGGGUCUGCAACCCGACCCCAUGAAGUCGGAUUUGCUAGUAACGGCGCAUCAGCUACGGCGCCGUGAAUACGUUCCCGGGCCUUGUACACACCGCCCGUCACAUCACGAAAGUGGGUUGUACUAGAAGUCUGCAUGCUAACCCGCAAGGGAGGCAGCGGCCCAAGGUGUGACUCAUGAUUGGGGUGAAGUCGUAACAAGGUAGCCGUAGGAGAACCUGCGGCUG
rnacentral:rRNA from 1 species